AUGAAGAAUCGGAGCCGAAGCGAAAGCGAGUCUGAAAAGGGCGAAGAGUUUGUUAUAGUAGACCCGAAACCGGGUGAUCUACCCAUGAGCAGGAUGAAGCGUUAGUAAAAUAACGUGGAGGUCCGAACCAGGCAUCGUUGAAAAGAUGUUGGAUGACUUGUGGGUAGGGGUGAAAUUCCAAUCGAACCUGGAGAUAGCUGGUUCUCCUCGAAAUAGCUUUAGGGCUAGCCUCAAAUUAGAUUGCACGGAGGUAGAGCACUGAAUAGGCUAGGGGGCUUCACCGCCUACCGAAUCUUAUCAAACUUCGAAUGCCGUGUAAUUGAUGUUGGGAGUCAGACUGUGGGGGAUAAGCUUCAUAGUCAAAAGGGAAACAGCCCAGACCGCCAGCUAAGGUCCCAAAAUAAUGAUUAAGUGGAAAACGAUGUGAAAUCGCUUAGACAACCAGGAUGUUGGCUCAGAAGCAGCCACCAUUUAAAGAGUGCGUAAUAGCUCACUGGUCCAGGGGUUUUGCGCGGAAAAUGUAACGGGGCUCAAAUCAUUUACCGAAGCUGCGGAGCAUCAUAGGAUGUUGGUAGAGGAGCGUUCUUAACACGGAGAAGGCAUACCGGAAGGAGUGCUGGAGAGUUAAGAAGUGAGAAUGCAGGUAUAAGUAUGCGAAAAGGCAGGUGAGAAUCCUGCCCGCCGAAAAUCUAAGGAUUCCUGGGGAAGGCUCGUCCGCCCAGGGUAAGUCGGGACCUAAGGCGAGGCCGAAAGGCGUAGUCGAUGGAAAACUGGUAGAUAUUCCAGUACCACCUGAUAUUGAUUGAGAGAAGUAGUGACGCAGAAGGAUAGGCAGAGCGCCCAGUUGGUGAGGCGUUUAAGUAAGUAGGGUGAUUGGUAGGCAAAUCCGCCAAUCGUGAAGCCUGAGAUACGAAUACGAGGGAAAAAUAGUACCGAAGUCGCUGAUUCCCGGCUGCCAAGAAAAGCUGCUAUCGAGAUAAAGGGUGCCCGUACCGCAAACCGACACAGGUAGAUGGGGUGAGAAACCUAAGGCGCGCGAGAAAACUCUUGUUAAGGAACUCGGCAAAAUGAACCCGUAACUUCGGGAGAAGGGUUGCUUAUCGUGGUGAAAUCCAUACGGAUGGAGCUAUGAUAAGUCGCAGAGAAAAGGUCCAGGCGACUGUUUAGCAAAAACACAGGUCAUUGCAAAAUCGUAAGAUGAAGUAUAAUGGCUGACGCCUGCCCGGUGCUGGAAGGUUAAGGGGAAGAGUGAGAGCUUUGAACCGAAGCCCCAGUAAACGGCGGCCGUAACUAUAACGGUCCUAAGGUAGCGAAAUUCCUUGUCGGGUAAGUUCCGACCCGCACGAAAGGCGUAACGAUCUGGACGCUGUCUCAACAAGGGACUCGGCGAAAUUGAAAUACCGGUAAAGAUGCCGGUUACCUGCGAUAGGACAGAAAGACCCCAUGGAGCUUUACUGUAGCCUGAUAUUGGGUUUUGGAUAUUGAUGUACAGGAUAGGUGGGAGACUGAGAAUCAUGAACGCCAGUUUGUGAGGAGUCGAUGUUGGGAUACCACUCUUCAAUAUCUGAAAUUCUAACAAUGUUCCGUGAAGCCGGAAUUUGGACAGUGUCAGGUGGGCAGUUUGACUGGGGCGGUCGCCUCCUAAAAGGUAACGGAGGCGCUCAAAGGUUCCCUCAGUGCGGAUGGAAAUCGCACGAAGAGUGUAAAGGCAGAAGGGAGCUUGAUUGCGAGACCAACAAGUCGAGCAAGUAGGAAACUAGGACUUAGUGAUCCGGCGGUUGCGAGUGGAAGUGCCGUCGCUCAACGGAUAAAAGCUACCCUGGG
rnacentral:rRNA from 1 species